CUCCUGGGCUCCCUGGGCUUCUGUGUUAAAGGCAGCCACAGAACAGCUGACCAUACGCAAGCGGAUCCUGGUCUCGUGCACCUCCCUGGAGAGAGCAGGUGCGCCCUCACCUCUCACGGAGGGCACUUCUGACUGAGACUGUUGAGGGUCCGAGCAGAACCACGGCGGGAGUGCACAACCACAUGUGGCUGGGCCCACCACACAUGCCAGUGAGGACGAGCUCGGGGCCAGGUCAGGCUCCAGACAGACAGAGGAAGCCCACCCCAGGGCAUUUACUACGGGAACGGCCCCAUUUCCAGAGCAAAUCAAGGUCAGGACUCUUUUACGAAUUCUCUUUUUCUCUAAGUGGAGGGAGUGGGCAGGACCAUUUUCCCCACUGCACAAAAAGGAAACCAACCCAAGGACAGAUAAACCAGUGGUUGAUUCUCA